AAAAAAAAAAAAUAAUAAAUAAAAUCACAUGCAUGUUGCUGGGUAAGGGAAAAAAAAAGACAGAGAGAGCAGGAUAGCCCUCGAACUAGAAAGCAUGCAAGUGUGCCCAGCACCUAAUAGAAAAAACAAAACAGUCAAAACUAGCUCAAAAACCUGAAACAUCCACAAACUCCAAAGGGGGAAAUAUUAGUAGAUAAUACCACCUUAUCUACUUGAAUUCUUUGCGGCUGAAUACAUAAAUUAGCCAUUUAACCAUUUGGAAAAAAGCCCAAUACACCCUUCAUCUUUUUUUUUGAACCAUUUUAAUUUUAAUUUUUGUAAUUAAUAGGCACAAUUUUAUAAAUUUAUCAAUGAAAAAUGAUCAAAUAUAUCACUUGAUAAUAUGCUUUUUCACGUUAUAAUAGUUUAAACCUUAUAAUUUAGUCCAUUAUUAUUGAGUUGAGAAAUUUGUGCUUAAUGAUUAUAAAAGUAAAAAAUGAAGGGUGCAAUAGAUCAAAAAUAAAAAUUCAGGGACGUAAUAGGUCAAAAUAAAAGAUCAGGAGUGCAAUAGAAUUUUCCAAAGAGUUAAGGGGCUGAUUUAUAUAUUAGGC
rnacentral:misc_RNA from 1 species